rnacentral:rRNA from 1 species
GACGAACGCUGGCGGCGUGCUUAACACAUGCAAGUCGAACGGAAAGGCCCUGCUUUUGUGGGGUGCUCGAGUGGCGAACGGGUGAGUAACACGUGAGUAACCUGCCCUUGACUUUGGGAUAACUUCAGGAAACUGGGGCUAAUACCGGAUAGGAGCUCCUGCUGCAUGGUGGGGGUUGGAAAGUUUCGGCGGUUGGGGAUGGACUCGCGGCUUAUCAGCUUGUUGGUGGGGUAGUGGCUUACCAAGGCUUUGACGGGUAGCCGGCCUGAGAAGGUGACCGGCCACAAUGGGACUGAGAUACGGCCCAGACUCCUACGGGAGGCAGCAGUGGGGAAUAUUGCACAAUGGGCGGAAGCCUGAUGCAGCAACGCCGCGUGCGGGAUGACGGCCUUCGGGUUGUAAACCGCUUUCGCCUGUGACGAAGCGUGAGUGACGGUAAUGGGUAAAGAAGCACCGGCUAACUACGUG